rnacentral:tRNA from 1 species
AGACCUAUCGUAUAGCGGUUAAUACACAGGACUUUGACUCCUGAAACACUCGUUCGAAUCGGGUUAGGUCUU